UAAAUUUUCAUUUUCCUAUCUCCCUCCCACACCUUACCCUAAAUUUGGUUUUCAUUAACUCAAUUCAAUCUUUCCCUCUGUUGUCGCUCCCCUUCCAUCUCUCCCUUUCUAUCACUCACUUCACUUUCUCUCGUCUUACUCUCGCGCUCAAUCCAUGUGCCUCUCGAUCACUCUUUCACUCACCCUUCUCACUCCCUAAUCUUCUUCUUCAUGCUAAGCUCACUACCUAGUCACCAUUCUCUCGUGCUCCCUCACAAAGAAGAAGAAGUCCAUUCGUCUCAUGCAGAGUCGCUGUUAUUCUCAUUUAGGGUUUAUUUUUCAUCUUUCUAGCCCUUGAUCGCUUUUGGGAAAAAUGAAAAUCACAUACUUGUUGCUACAGAUGUUGCUGCCAGGGGUCUUGAUAUUCCUAGUGUUAGAACUGUUGUCCACUAUGAGCUUCCACAUGCAGCAGAGGUGUUUAUUCAAUUGAAGUUGACGCUGCCAAAGCCCAUGGUUUGGUGUUAAAAAGAAUAGGGGCAUAAAAGCAUUAACCAAUUUUCAUGUAUGUAUCAUUCAUUAUAGAUAUAUUUAUGAGUUUCAUAGAAUAUGUAUUGGUGCUUUCUUGGAACACUUUGUGUAUGGUAUUAAUUCUUUUGAUGUAAAUAAUUUGGUCGUACAUGGUCAAGUAUUUUGAUCAAGAAAUACAUGUAUUAAUGGUGGAAUAAACUUUGCUGUCCAGAUUUUAAUGGAGUCUGUUCUGAUUU